UACGUAGGGUGCAAGCGUUGUCCGGAAUUAUUGGGCGUAAAGAGCUCGUAGGCGGUUUGUCGCGUCUGCUGUGAAAACUCGGGGCUUAACUCCGGGCCUGCAGUGGGUACGGGCAGACUAGAGUGCGGUAGGGGAGACUGGAAUUCCUGGUGUAGCGGUGAAAUGCGCAGAUAUCGGGAGGAACACCGGUGGCGAAGGCGGUUCUCUGGGCCUUACCUGACGCUGAGGAGCGAAAGCGUGGGGAGCGAACAGGA
rnacentral:rRNA from 1 species